UCAGGGUUGCAUCACCUCAAUGCUCAAACAAUCACAUUGCCACAUCUGUCAUUGCAGUCAUGCAGUACGGUUAAUCUGAACAAACUUGAUACCCCAUGAUUGCAACUUCUCCUGCAACUCACUUACCAGUGAUAUCAUCACCACAGUUUACAAUAGUAUUUAAGGCAAGGAUCACAGAUUAAUAUACAGUUAGACAGAAAAAAGAAGGGUUUUUUUUUGCUGUGUUUGUUUUAAUUUAAUUUAAUUGAUUUACCCUCAGACACAGACGUGCCACGUGGAUUUGUGUAAAACCCAGACAAACACAUAAUGAAGUGUUUCUGGAAGACAGAAACAUUCCCUAAUGUUCCAUAACAGGCCUUCACUUUACGGAUACACAUGUUGAAGGAAUUCACACAGUUUCUGUCACUCUUCCUCAUUUCUAAAUUUCUGAGCAAGGCUUUACCCAUAAUUCAAGCUAUGUUAACUAUGAAUAAAAACAGAGACAGAAACAGAGACUUUCAGUUUUUGUUUAUAAAUCGCUGGGAAAAUCCCUGCAGACACUCAAAUUUAAUGAUGUAACAACUGAAACUCGGGAAGGUCAUUCAGCGGCAAAAACAUACUGACAAGUUUGUAGUUAUCUUCUUGUGUCCAUUUUAAAUACUGCUACAUUUAUUCUGUGUGAUACGUCAUAAGCACAAACACAUGAUCACAUCAUGCAGCUUGACCAAUCAUAUCGCACAGUCAUGUGCUUCUCACACACAGGCAGAUAGACAGACAACUAUAGUACACCUGAGAGCUGAUCAUAUAAUGUAUAAUGGAGCUAAUAACUCCUCAGUCACUUACGCUGCUGUUUUACAUUCUUAGAUCAUGUCAUCCCAGUCACAUCUCUCUGCCUCUCUCUCUCUCUCUCUCUCUCUCUCUGUUACUUUCUCUCUGUCUCAAUCUGUAUCCUUGUCUUUGUCUUUCUAUCUAUUACUGUUGAUGUGUUAAAAUAAAAAAUGGACUGCUAAAAUGAAGCAGCACAUCAUAUUAUAGGUUGGCAAAACUGAUAAAUAUUGUUUCCAACUCUCCAUUCAUGGCCACAUCUUACAAUUUUGUCACGUUUUUACUUUGCUAAAAGAUACAGCUGUGUUUCUUGUCUGGAAUCUAAACUCAAAAGGACUGAUUCUCAUACAGCAGCACAACAAACACUACAUAUAAGCAACACGGCUUAUAUGACGGCUCAGUGGCUAAGGCUUUUUGGGCUUCUGAUUGGAAAAUUGUGAAUUCAAAUCCCAGCACAUAGAUCAAGGCAUUUAACCCUUAACUGCUCCGUCAUAUCUUCUCUUAAUUGUUGCUUUGUACAGCGGUGACUGCCAAAUGAAUAAAUGUAAAAGCAGCUGAUAAAUGUACCAGUCAGUCAACGCUAGUGUUUGUUGGUGUGUAAUGUGUAAUGGGUGUAUAUAGGGGUCCAGUGCUUGUAUAACUACAAGACAUAAACUAUUCUUGUGACUGAACGUUUGGGAGACUCUGGGAGCACUUUCCAGCUGGCAGGUGGCCAAACAUGCUUUAGAAAAAGUGCUCUGCUGGGAAAGAAGCAGAAGCCAGGAAUGAAAGAACAUGAUUUUCCAUAACAAUGCCUUAGAGAGUUCAUUUAUUCAUAUUCAGCAAGUGCUGUGUCCUGGAACACUGAGGGUGAGCUAGGAAAAGACCCUGAAUUUGAUGCCAGUCCAUUCCAGGGCAGCAUUCACACUCCCAUUCGUGAAAACAUCUGAAACACAUCAAGACAGUAAAAAGAUCAGGAUUGAACUGGGGAUUCUGGAGCCAUUGUCUCUGUCUAUCUAUCUAUCUAUCUAUCUAUCGUCAGGUACGUAAGUAUUUGGACCAUAUACCAUACAUACCAUUUUGCCUCUGUACACCACCAUAAUGGAUUUGAAAUGAAGCAAUCAAGAUGUGAUUCAAGUGUAGAUUUUCAGCUUUAAAUCAAGGGGUUUAAAAACUGUUUCAUUAACCAUUUAGGAAUUACAGCCAUUUUUUUUACAGAGUCCUUCUUUUUUCACUUCGAGAACUGACUUCACUUGCUGCCUAAUAUAUCCCACCCUUUGACAGAUACCAUUCUAACAAGAUAGUCAAUGUAUAUUCACGUCACCAUUCAGUGGUUUAAUGUUACGGCUGAUCGGUGUAUAUAUGCAUGUAUAAGUCAUAUAUUUUCAUAUACAUAUAAGUAUAAGUACAUACAUAUAAGUAUGUAUUUUCUAGAAUCAGCUGAACUGUGAAAAUUCAUUGAUGCUAUUGUUUUGUUUUAGGCCAUAACUCACAGGGAAACCCCCUGCCCAUGCCAGUUCACAGCAGUUCCUUCAGUGCCAAAAGCAUAUCAAAUGAUUUGUGUUUUCUCUCUGAUGUGUGACUGCUUUGUGGUCCUCUCUUAAAUAGUGCUAAAUUUGUACCAUGUGCUACGUCACUCACACAAGCACAGGAUUGCAUCAUGCAACUUGACCAAUCACAUCCCAAGCCUACAUGUACUUUCCUUCUUACAGACAAACAGCUAGGAGUCCAUGUCUCCUGUUUCAAGUUGAGGAUUGUUUAUAUAUACAGGAGCUAAUGAUUCAUCAGGCACAGAUGUUGUACAUUCCUAAACAGCACUGGAUCUUUUAGAACUUAGUCAUAUGUGGGUUGCACUCUCUUCUUACAUUCCUACACCUUUUAAAACAUGCAGACUCUUAUAGGUUCUAUGUUUGUCCAGAGAGUCCUUGAAGGUAUGUAGAACCCUAAAACAGUGUGUUUCGCUAUUCGAAAUGACUUCAGGUAAAACCCUUUUUAGGAGGGUUUAGGUGUCCUUCAGAACCCUUUUUUCCAACAGUGUACCAAAUACCAAGAUACUCAAUUUUAAAAGACAGGUUCUAGGUAUUGAAAAAAUAUAAUGGCCAGUAAUUUGGGAAACACCCUGUUGUGCUGUCUGUUCCUCUAAGAGGUGGGUCAUGGGGAUUCACAGGCAUAGAAUGUUGUGGUGAACUGGGAUGUUUGGAUGCUGUCACCCUCCCACUCUCCUGUGUUCACUCAGGUUUGUCGACGGUGGAGUCGCUGGCCGCUUUAUGUCCCAGGGUCUGUGUUACCUUCUGGCAUCUCCCUUUUAGUUAUUCUGUCACAGCGAGUCUUGCCGGAGUCCCUGUAUGCAAAGGACAUUGUCCUUAACCAUUACGGGACAAAAGCUUACCUAACAAUCUCUCUCCCUCUCUCUCCCUAUCGAGCUACACACACUUCUCCUGAGAUACCAGUGAUCUUGACCUCUUCUACUCUCCGGACCUGCCUGAUCCAUCCUGAUGCCCUACUUGUCGUUGGAGUUCUCAUCAGAUGAGAUUGGUCGCUGCUGCUGGGGGUGGACCCACAUGCACGGCCUGAAGAUCAUUGGGAUUGCUGGGGAUGGUGCUGCUUGCGGGUCGUGAAGAUGGCACUCAGGUCUCCAUCAGUGGACAGUGGAUAUGUUCAACAAACCGGACUUCAGAACCCUUAGUUCUUCACUUAAAGGCUCUGCGUAGGACCCUACAACAAAGUGUUUACCAAUCAGGUUCCAAGUAAAACCAUUUUGUAAGGCUUGGCACUAGCACUGGAAGUGCACUGUCACGUUCAACCCCAGAGGCUGUGGUUGGUUCUCUGGCUGGGAAUCGAGCCCAGGCUGCAGCAGUGAGAGGGCCAUGGCCUAACUACUAGUCCUCCAGGGACAUCUAGGUGUGUCCUGUUAGAUUGAUUGUUCAUCAUGCAGCAAGACAACGAACCAAAACACACUGCCAACACAACAAAGGACUUCAUCGGGGGAAAAAGUGGAAGAUUUUAGACAGGCCAAGUCAAUCACCAGACCUUAACCCAACUGAGCAGCAUUUCGCCUCCUGAAGAGGAGACUGAAGGGAGAAACUUCCCAAAACAAACAACAACUGAAACAAGCUGGCUACAAGCCUGGAAAAGCAUCAGAGAAGAAGAAUGCAACAGCUUGGUGAUGUCAGUAGUCACCAGCUUGAUGAAAUCAUUACAACCAAAUAAUCUCCGUGUCCUGGUCACCAGCGCCCUAGUCACAGACUCGUCACCAGCUGCAUCUGUCCAUCGCCUUCUCCGUGGGAGGAGUCUAUCCCCAGCCGACCCUCCUCAUUGGUUCGGCGUGAUGGGGGCUGGUAGAAGGCAG